rnacentral:sRNA from 1 species
UGCUCUUCCUUUCAAUGUACGCCGAAGUC